UACGUAGGGGGCAGCGUUGUCCGGAAUUAUUGGGCGUAAAGAGCGUGUAGGCGGUCCGGUAAGUCGGCUGUGAAAGUCCAGGGCUCAACCCUGGGAUGCCGGUCGAUACUGCCGGACUAGAGUUCGGAAGAGGCGAGUGGAAUUCCCGGUGUAGCGGUGAAAUGCGCAGAUAUCGUAAGGAAGACCAGUGGCGAAGGCGGGUCUCUGGACAGUUCCUGACGCUG
rnacentral:rRNA from 1 species